rnacentral:lncRNA from 1 species
AUGGGGUGUAAAGAGGAUAGAGGCUCCAGGAAGGAAGGGGUGGGGGGAUGGGACCCCCCACUUUCCAGGGAUCCCUCUGGCUGCCUUGAAGGGGUGGCCGAUUCCUGGGUGGGAGGGAGAAGCCAAGGCGGCCCCUCCGGAGAUUCCCCACGGGAGCCACUAUGGAUAAGUCUCCCCAAAGACUGGUUUCCUAUCUCCCCCUCCCCAAUUCUGCCCUUCCCUGCCCCAGGGAUGCUCCCCCUCCCCACUUCCUCGACUCCCUCCCUCUGUCCCAGAGUCUCCACUGAACCCAGAGGCCCCCCUUGGCGCGGCUUACCCCACGCCCUGCGCCCCCAUCUCUCCCUCCGGAGGGCCCCCCACCCAAGACGAGCAGGGGGAGGACAGGGGGUCACUAUCCAGGCGUCCCUCACGCCCCUUAACCCUUUCAUGGCCCACCUCUUUCCGCGCGGAACCCACAGAGUCCCAGGGAUGCCUGCGCGGGCAAAUGGGGCGAGGGGGCUUCGUGGGAUCCCCUGGGUGGGCUUCCUAAGGGUCCAAGGAAAACCUCCUUCAUUGUACGCGUGCAGGGAUCCAGAUCCACGAAAGGCGCUUUGGGGAGCUGGCGGGGUCUCUGGAUCCUUCUCUCCGCUUCCCCCCGCGACCCCUUUACCUCUUUGUCCUCGCUCCCGAUUCUCCUUUCCUUUCCUGCAACAUCCACGUGGGUGGGGGGGGAUUUUACCUGCUGCCCCUCCUCCCCUUUCCGAAAGCGCCCCCCCCCUAGAGCUACGGCGCAGAGCAGCAAUCCGGCGCAGAAGCUCCACUUGCGGGAGAAGCAGGCAGGUUGGGAGGGGGGUUCACCCCGCCCCCACUUUCCCGAAGCAGGAGCCGGAUGGCGAGGAAGAGGAGCAACAUAUUGGGGAGGGGAUUUGGGCUUUGCGGAGGCGGGGUCUGGGAAGGGUGGAACUUGGGGGGCGGGGAGGAGAGGAAGGUGUCCCCCCUCCCCUCUUCCUCCUGAGAAUCAGGAGAAUGGGGGAGGGGCUGAUCCCGGCAAUCCUACUGCAAAGUGGUGUGUCCCCCCCCACAAUGUUUAUAUUGCAAAAUCCUUCCCUCCCCCACCCCACGCCACGAGCUUAG